rnacentral:rRNA from 1 species
GACGAACGCUGGCGGCGUGCUUAACACAUGCAAGUCGAACGGGCCCGCCCCUGUUUUUGGGUGUGGGUUGAGUGGCGAACGGGUGAGUAUCACGUGAGUAACCUGCCCCCUGCUCCUGGAUAACUGCUUGAAAGGGCGGCUAAUACGGGGUGUGCCGGCUGGUCCGCAUGGGCCUGGUCGGGAUAGUUUCAUCUUCGGGUGUUUCGGUGGGGGAUGGGCUCGCGGCCUAUCAGCUUGUUGGUGGGGUGAUGGCCCACCAAGGCGGUGACGGGUAGCCGGCCUGAGAGGGUGGGCGGCCACACUGGGACUGAGACACGGCCCAGACUCCGGCGGGAGGCAGCAGUGGGGGGUAUUGCACAAUGGGCGGAAGCCUGAUGCAGCGACGGCGCGUGAGGGAUGGAGGCCUUCGGGUUGUGAACCUCUUUCUCCGGUGGUGAAGGCCCUGUCCGUUGCGGCGGGGUUGACGGUAGCCGGGUAUGAAGCGCCGGCUAACUACGUG